UAAAGUUACCACGAGGAUCGUGGAAGGAUUCUCUACAAUUUCUACAGAUCGGAAUCUCGUUUCGAAGAUUUUCGGGUUUUGGCAUAAAAUUGAGGUUUUGGAACUCGAUUCGCUGUGUAGGGGCCUUGGAGUUCGGGAUUGGCUAUUCGGGGAAAAGGUCCUUCAAGUAACCGGAACUAGCAUCCUGGUGUAGGGAGCGUAGUGGCCGAUGUAUUGCGUUUAGCGCUUGGGUAAGUAUUAAGACUGUAUUUUUGUUGGGUUGCCAUUUUGAGUUAUAUUUGAGCACCCGGUUGUACGUUUUGAUAGAGUUGUAUUUGGCUCGUGUAUAGACUCUAGUAUGGUACUGCAUAUGUAUGUAUGGUUU